AUUAUUGUUUGCAUUAUCAUUGACGACUGUGAGAAUCUGCAGAAAAAAACAGUAUGGAACUACAACUUCACGUUCUUGAGAAAAGCUUGCAGUGUAAGAUGCGUUUGUUUGUGGUGCCUGAGGAAGAGAGAAUACUGGAAGAACAUUAAAAGUCAGAGAGAUGUGCUCCUGUUCAUCUGGAAGAAAGCAAAGAAUCAUGCUCUGAACUCCUUUUGGGGGCAUGUGGCCAGGAACUGAGCGUGACCUCUAGAAGUUGAAUGUGGUCUCUAUUCAGAAGUCAGUAAGAAUAUGGAUGCCUUAGUCAUACAACUUCAGGGAAAUGAAUUUUGUCAACAAUUAAUGAGUUUGGGUAGUACGCUGAGGCUCCAAUAUGAAUUGGGAGCCCAGAUGAUUUUUAGCCGGGGGUCCUGAGCACUUUGUUACCUUGUACCAUAACUCCCGUACCAUGGAAACUGUGAAAUAAAUUUCUGUCAUUUUAAACCACUAA